rnacentral:rRNA from 1 species
AAAUUGAAGAGUUUGAUCAUGGCUCAGAUUGAACGCUGGCGGCAGGCCUAACACAUGCAAGUCGAGCGGAAACGAGUUAUCUGAACCUUCGGGGAACGAUAACGGCGUCGAGCGGCGGACGGGUGAGUA